rnacentral:rRNA from 1 species
GUGGGGAAUAUUGGACAAUGGGCGAAAGCCUGAUCCAGCAAUGCCGCGUGAGUGAUGAAGGCCUUAGGGUUGUAAAGCUCUUUUACCAGGGAUGAUAAUGACAGUACCUGGAGAAUAAGCUCCGGCUAACUCCGUGCCAGCAGCCGCGGUAAUACGGAGGGAGCUAGCGUUGUUCGGAAUUACUGGGCGUAAAGCGCGCGUAGGCGGCUCAGCAAGUCAGGGGUGAAAUCCCGGGGCUCAACCCCGGAACUGCCUUUGAAACUGCUAGGCUAGAAUCCUGGAGAGGCGAGUGGAAUUCCGAGUGUAGAGGUGAAAUUCGUAGAUAUUCGGAAGAACACCAGUGGCGAAGGCGACUCGCUGGACAGGUAUUGACGCUGAGGUGCGAAAGCGUGGGGAGCAAACAGGAUUAGAUACCCGUGUAGUCC